rnacentral:rRNA from 1 species
GUCCACGCCGUAAACGGUGGGCGCUAGAUGUGGGACCAUUCCAUGGUUUCUGCGUCGCAGCUAACGCAUUAAGCGCCCCGCCUGGGAGUACGGUCGCAAGACUAAAACUCAAAGGAAUUGACGGGGCCCGCACAAGCAGCGGAGCAUGCGGCUUAAUUCGAUGCAAACGCGAAGAACCUUACCUAGGCUUGACAUAUAGAGAAAUCCCACAGAGAUGUGGAGUCCGUAAGGGCUCUAUACAGGUGGUGCAUGGUUGUCGU